CAGAGCAUAGCUAAAAACAGGAUAGCGUCUCCCUUACACCGAGAAGGUAUCCGUGCAAACCGGAUUGCCCUGAC
rnacentral:tRNA from 1 species